AUACGUAGGUGACAAGCGUUAUCCGGAUUUACUGGGCGUAAAGGGCGUGUAGGCGGUCUUGCAAGUCAGAAGUGAAAUUCCUGAGCUCAACUCGGGCGCUGCUUCUGAAACUGCAGGACUUGAGUGCUGGAGGGGAUAGCGGAAUUCCUAGUGGAGCGGUAAAAUGCGCAGAUAUUAGGAAGAACACCAGGGGCGAAGGCGACUUACUGGACUGUAACUGACGCUGAGGCGCGAAAGUGUGGGGAGCAAACAGGAUUAGAUACCCUGGUAGUCCACACUGUAAACGAUGAAUGCUAGGUGUAGGGGGUAUCGACCCCUUCUGUGCCGCAGUUAACACAAUAAGCAUUCCGCCUGGGGAGUACGGCCGCAAGGUUGAAACUCAAAGGAAUUGACGGGG
rnacentral:rRNA from 1 species